AACGCUGGCGGCAGGCUUAACACAUGCAAGUCGAGCGCCUCGCAAGAGGAGCGGCAGACGGGUGAGUAACGCGUGGGAAUCUACCCAUCUCUACGGAACAACUCCGGGAAACUGGAGCUAAUACCGUAUACGUCCUUCGGGAGAAAGAUUUAUCGGAGAUGGAUGAGCCCGCGUUGGAUUAGCUAGUUGGUGGGGUAAUGGCCUACCAAGGCGACGAUCCAUAGCUGGUCUGAGAGGAUGAUCAGCCACACUGGGACUGAGACACGGCCCAGACUCCUACGGGAGGCAGCAGUGGGGAAUAUUGGACAAUGGGCGCAAGCCUGAUCCAGCCAUGCCGCGUGAGUGAUGAAGGCCCUAGGGUUGUAAAGCUCUUUCAACGGUGAAGAUAAUGACGGUAACCGUAGAAGAAGCCCCGGCUAACUUCGUGCCAGCAGCCGCGGUAAUACGAAGGGGGCUAGCGUUGUUCGGAAUUACUGGGCGUAAAGCGCACGUAGGCGGAUACUUAAGUCAGGGGUGAAAUCCCGGGGCUCAACCCCGGAACUGCCUUUGAUACUGGGUAUCUCGAGUCCGGAAGAGGNGAGUGGAAUUCCGAGUGNAGAGGUGAAAUUCGUAGAUAUUCGGAGGAACACCAGUGGCGAAGGCGGCUCACUGGUCCGGUACUGAC
rnacentral:rRNA from 1 species